rnacentral:rRNA from 1 species
UACGUAGGGGGCGAGCGUUAUCCGGAAUUACUGGGCGUAAAGCGCACGCAGGCGGUUCGCCAAGUUUGGAGUGACAGUUGUCGGCUCAACCGACAAAGGACUUCAAAAACUGGUGAACUUGAGGACGAGAGAGGAACAUGGAACUCCAGGUGUAGUAGUGAAAUGCGUAGAUAUCUGGAAGAACACCUGUGGCGAAAGCGGCUCACUGGACCAUAACUGACGCUGAUGCACGAAAGCUAGGGGAGCAAACAGG